GUGGCUGUAGCUCAGUUGGUAGAGCCCUGGAUUGUGACUCCAGUGGUCGCGGGUUCAAGUCCCGUCAGCCACCCCA
rnacentral:tRNA from 4 species